rnacentral:rRNA from 1 species
UACAGAGGUCUCAAGCGUUGUUCGGAUUCAUUGGGCGUAAAGAGCUCGUAGGCGGUCUGUUGCGUCGGCUGUGAAAACCCGGGGCUCAACUCCGGCCGUGCAGCCGAUACGGGCAGACUAGAGUUCGGCAGGGGAGGACUGGAAUUCCUGGUGUAGCGGUGAAAUGCGCAGAUAUCAGGAGGAACACCGGUGGCGAAGGCGGGUCUCUGGGCCGAUACUGACGCUGAGGAGCGAAAGCGUGGGGAGCAAACAGG